GGAAAGGGUGCUCUGGCCAGUCAGCCUGCCCCUGCGAAGGAGCUGCAUGCAGCCUGGCUUAGUGCUCAGAGCUUUCCCUUGCCUUGCUGGUGCUGCCGGGAGCCUCGGAGGACUGAGCUGUCCACUUGCUCCGGGUGCUGCAUGCGUCCAACCAUUUUGGGAUCUGUUGCUGUGAGUGGCAUCUAGUCCAAGCGCCAGAGAGAACGGAUGGAGCACGCAGCUGGGAAUAGGAUGCCAGGCGAGCACAGAGGAAGAAAUCAGGAGCCCCCCAGGACUGGAAGUACAGCCGCCAUUGGAUAAUGGGACGGGAUCACUCAGCAAAUCUGUGGAUUCUCCUUCUCCUCCCUCUGUAGGGGAAAUAUAGUUAUGGAUUUAUUGUCCCGGUGCAGCAGUUCCAGCAGCAGCAGCAGCAGCAGCCUCAUCAGAUUUCUGACUCUCUUCGGUGACGGGUAUUCUUGGGUGGAUAAUACGGAUUACGUUGUUAUUGCUUAAGAAUACGCGUAGUCGAGGAGAGUACCCGCGGCAGGCAGGCAGGCAGCGGCCGCCCCCAGCCCAGCAGCUGGCUCCUAAUCUACCAUAGUUGCCAAGGUAGCCCCUUUUUGAUCUUUUCCUGCACGGUGCUGUGUCUCUCUCUGUGUCUGUGAUUAGGAGAUCCGAGGGGUUGCUCAGGCCGCACCAGGGUGCAUGGCAGGGUAGAGACUGGCGAUGUCUAGUCGUGUGCAUCCUAGAUUAGAUCUCCUCCCCGCGCCCCCCGCCCCACGGCGUCUCUUUCCCAAAAUCGCGUGUGAGGGGCGGCAGAGCCAAGCCAGAUCUGUCCAGGGCAGUGCCGAGCCGGGGAGGGGGGAUUCUGACCUUUGUCCUGAUGUGUCCUCCCCCCCCUUGAUGCUGGGAAAGACUGAGCGGCCUUGCCCUAGCAGAGCGCCGGGCGGUGGCGCGGGGAGAGGCAGAGCGGAGAGAAAACCUGCCGCGGUGCAGCCCCGGGGGAGAAGGGGGCCCCGGGAGAUCUGCUUUGUUAUCUGUUGCGCGCGCCGCGUAGUUGCCAAGGGGUCUGGUGGGAGCUGCCGCGCGGCUCGCACGCGGCUGUCGGGCCGGUGCAGAGGGCGGGGGGCAGGUCGGUUCGACCCGCUCAGAUGGGCCCGAUCCCGCGUGUCGUGCGCAGGCAGGCAGGCUUCCCGCAGGCGUCCCUUCCCCGGGGAUGGGCCCGCGUUCAGUGGCAGGCGUGGGUGCGCAGCGGGGGCAGGGGUGUCUCAGCCCUGUGAACCCUCUGGCCCUGGUUCCCCCGGAGGAAGAGAGCGGGGCCCGGCGUAGGGACGGGCACAGAGCAGUUGUUUGCCCAAGAUCGGUUAUGCCUAGGUCCCUGGAUUCCCAGGAUGGGACGGGCACUAGCCACGUGCUAAGCAGGCGGCCGAGGCACUAUCCGGCCUGUGCACAUUCAGCUCCCGGGGCAGCCAGAGCCCGGGACAAGCCCGCAGCCCGCCCGCACUGCCAGGGAAGCCUCAGCAACUUUUAGUCUCCGCCUGAUCCUGGCAGUCGGGGUCGGGGGG